AUCAAUGCGGCCCGCGAGUCAAAAAGUUUGCCCACCCCUGUUUUAGAGAGACAUUUUAACUCAUGGUAAAACAGGAAGGUGGUGGUUGAUCUCGCUGCCAUAGCGUGUCUGUGGGUGACAGUCUCAGCAACAUUCAGUCUUAGUAAAAUUCAUCUAUUUCAUUUGUCCCUUGUGCAUUUUCAACUGUUUUAUGCAUGUAAAACCAUCACGAUAAAACUAGAAAGACAUGUUUUGUGGUAAUUCUUACCUUUGUUAGCCAGCUAAGAGGAUGCCAACAAGGAGCAACACAAGACACACCAUAUUGGAUUUGAACCUGAGAAUGCACCCAAACCGAGAUCAAUGACAACAUAUUUUUGUCAUGUUACGGAUACAUGAAAGCCCCAAGAGGACUUUUUCAUGCGCUAGCCAUCCAGCAAA